CACACACGCGCACAUGGCUUUUUCCGCAAGUUUUUUUCUCCGGGGGCAUGCUUGGUGAUAGAAGGAAAGGACUUAUUUCUAUCGUUAGAAGAUAUAGGUCCUGGUUAGCCCUGACCAUUAUCCGAUCGCUAAGACGCUUGCACACUCCCUCAAAGCUCCGUAAAUUUUCCCUCCAUGGGUAGAUAAUCCGUCCGGCAUGUAAAUCCUGGGGUAUGCCCACAGCUUUAAUGAAUAAAAUGGGUAGAAAAUGAAUCUGUUUAAGUCAUAAGUAAAGGCCUUUCAUAAAGAGGCUGUCAUGAUUGACUGUGGCCCAUAUUUAACACGUAUUGCUUGUUACAUAAGACCCCUGUUGUACAUUGAAUAUCCACUAGCAGAUUUGUGUAGCAUACAUCUCCACUGUAUCGGUCAUGUUCCUGUGGUCUUUUUAAAAGUCAAUAAACAUAUGUGUAAAAUUUACACUUUUGUUUCACUGUAGAUUUGUUUAAGCCCACCUAGAAACACCUGAUUUAUCCCACAGCAUUAAUGAAUAAGCUGUGUAGAAAAUGAAUCUGUUUAAGUCAUAAGUAAAGGCCUUUCGAAAAAGAGGCUGUCUUGAUUGACUGUGGCCCAUAUUUAACACGUAUUGCUUGUUACAUAAGACCCCUGUUGUACAUUGAAUAUCCAAUAGCCGAUUUUUGGAGCAUCUCCACUAUAUCUGUCAUGUUACUGUGGUCUUUUUAAAAGUCAAUAAACAUGUGUGUAAAAUGUACACUUUUGUUUCACUGUAGAUUUGUUUAAGCCCACCUAGAAACACCUGAUUUAUCCCACAGCAUUAAUGAAUAAGCUGGGUAUAAAAUUAUUCUGUUUAAGUUAUAAGUAAAGGCCUUUCCUAAAGAGGCUGUCAUGAUUGACUGUGGCCCAUAUUUAACACGUAUUGCUUGUUACAGAAGACCACUGUUGAACAUUGAAUAUCCAUUCAUCCCUGUUACACCUUUAUGUGUUGGCUCUCUAUGUCUGUACAUAGGGUGAAAUGCGUUUCACUAAAGUUAUUAUACCCUAAACCUAAACCUGAAAUUACAUUUAGGAUCUUUCUUUGGGGUUCUAAUCUCCCCGGUGUACAUGCACCGAACAACCAUAGGCUGGAGCCACCUGGAAGCUCGGUGCAUGUACAUAUAAAGACAACUAAAUAGGAAACUCAACAGUGUGUUAGGCCUAGAAACAUUAUUUAGAUGGCUGUUUUAUUGUUGUUGAAAGCUUGAAAUGUCCACAAUGCGAAGGGACCUUGUUUCUAACACACACACACAUACACACACACACACACACACACACACACACACACACACACACACAUACACUCCAGCACACGCACGCACACACACGCGAGCACAUGGCUUUUUCCGAAAGUUUUUUCUCAGGGACAGACUGCGCUAAGAGUGAACAAACGAGAGAGUUCAUGACGUGAUCCAGGGGCCUGGUGUAGCCAACCACCAUUAUCAGUGUCCAAGUCACCAUCAAACUGCCUGGCUCUCUUGCAAGGUCCUUCAAAACGCC